rnacentral:rRNA from 1 species
GACGAACGCUGGCGGCGUGCUUAACACAUGCAAGUCGAACGGAAAGGCCCUGCUUUUGUGGGGUGCUCGAGUGGCGAACGGGUGAGUAACACGUGAGUAACCUGCCCUUGACUUUGGGAUAACUUCAGGAACCUGGGGCUAAUAUCGGAUAGGAGCUCCUGCUGCAUGGUGGGGGUUGGAAAGUUUCGGCGGUUGGGGAUGGACUCGCGGCUUAUCAGCUUGUUGGUGGGGUAGUGGCUUACCAAGGCUUUGACGGGUAGCCGGCCUGAGAGGGUGACCGGCCACAUUGGGACUGAGAUACGGCCCAGACUCCUACGGGAGGCAGAAGUGGGGAAUAUUGCACAAUGGGCGGAAGCCUGAUGCAGCAACGCCGCGUGCGGGAUGACGGCCUUCGGGUUGUAAACCGCUUUCGCCUGUGACGAAGCGUGAGUGACGGUAAUGGGUAAAGAAGCACCGGCUAACUACGUG